UGAUACGCCACCUAGAGAAUGGCUUGGCUCAGGCGCCGAAGAAGGGCGUGGCAAGCUGCGAUAAGCCUCGGGUAGGAGCAAGUAUCCUGCGAUCCGAGGAUCCCCGAAUUGGAUACCUUCCGGCGGUGCGCGCAAGCGUGCCGUUGGAACACCCGAAAGGGUGAGGUAACCCACCGAAAGGAAACAUCUGAGUAGGUGGAGGAAGAGAAAUCAACCGAGAUUCCCUGAGUAACGGCGAGUGAAAAGGGAAAAGCCCAAACCGAACCGCGCGUCGAAAGGCGCGUGGGAUGUGGGGUUGAGGACCGGACCUCCUCUCUGCCUGCGAAGUCGAAGAGGCCUGGAAAGGCCCACGAAAAUGGGUGAUAGUCCCGUAGACGUUGGCCGGCGUGAGUUGGGUCUGAGUUCCUGAGUACUGCGCCUCGGAUAUGGCGCAGGAAGCUGGGAGCUAUUCACUUCCAAGGCUAAAUACGUCCUGAGACCGAUAGUGCACCAGUACGGUGACGGAAAGCUGAAAAGAACCCCGAGAGGGGUGUGAAAAGAGCCUGAAACUAGGUGGUUACAGACGUUCACGGCUUGAAAGGGUUUGAAUCCCCCAAAAGUUUCCGGUCGAGAGGCUAGAAGCGAUGGGGGGCUACCAGAGUCGUGAUUUUCGUCUUGAAACACGAGCCGGGGAGUUUAUGGUCGUGGCAAGCCUAAGGGGGUCUAUCCCCGUAAGCGAAGGGAAGCCGACUAGCCUGCAACCGCCCUAACCGGCGGCGAGAGGCGGGGUAGCGAUUGCCCGCAGUCACGGCCUUAAGACUAGAAACCGAACGAUCUAAUCCUGGGCAGGGCGAAGCCGGGCGAAAGCUCGGUGGAGGCUCGAAGGGGUCCUGACGUGCAAUUCGGUCCUCUGACCUGGGAUUAGGGGACAAAAACCAAUCUAGUUCGGUGAUAGCUAGUUCCUUCCGAAAUGGAUCUCAGUCCAGCCCGCCCGGAGGAGGUCGGCAGGGUAGAGCACUGAUCGAUGGGCAAGGCCUCGAAAGAGUCCACCCGUCUUUCAAACUCCGAAUCUGUCGACACCGUAGAUGGGCGGAGACGGGUUCCAGGGGGUAAGCUCCUGGACCGAGAGGGGAACAACCCAGACUAGGGUUAAGGUCCCUAAAUGCUGGCUAAGUGUUAUUCGAAAAGGCGUCUCGACUCUCAGACAGCGGGAAGGUAGGCUUAGAAGCAGCCAUCCUUUAAAGAGUGCGUAACAGCGCACCCGCCGAGAGUCAAGGCCCUGAAAAUGGACGGGGCUCAAGCCAGCUGCCGAUACCCUAGAGCGCAGCCUGAGGCUGCGUCUGGUAGGAAGGCGUCCGAGUUGGGCCGAAGCUGGGCCGUGAGGUCCAGUGGACCGACUUGGAUUGCAGAUCCCGGUGGUAGUAACAGCUAAGACAGGUGAGAAUCCUGUCCGCCUGAAGGACAAGGGUUCCCCGGCAACGCGUCGUCAGCCGGGGGUUAGUCGAUCCUAAGGCCUCGUUUAACAUGCGAGGUCGAAAAAGGGAAGCCGGUUUACAUUCCGGCACCAGAGGGGUACACGCGGUAACGCAAGCCCUCAUGCUGACGCUUCGGGGCAGGUUGAGCGGGGCUGUCGCUCCGUCUAACUGUCAAAGCCUGGGAAGUACCGUAAAGGUGAGAACUAGGCGAAGGCAGGAAUGGCUUGCCGUUAGGCGAGUUCAGCUGGGCCCUGGAGCCAUGGAAAAGGCGUGGGGGAUGGAUCCCCUCUGAUCGUACCUAGAUCCGACACUGGUGUUCCUGCGUGAGAAGCGCAAGGCGUCUCGGGGUAUUCCACGGCGAGGGAACUUGGCAAUUUAGCCCCGUAACUUAGGGAUAAGGGGUGCCUGAGGCUGGGCUUCGGCUUGGUCUCAGGUCGCAGUAACUAAGGGGUCCCGACUGUUUACUAAACGGGCAAAGGCACCGGCUUAAUGUUCGAGAUGGAAAAAAGCAGAAUUCCCCGGGGACGGAAGUUGCAAUAAAAACCUGUGCCUGCUGCGUUCCAACAGACCGGACGAAUUCGAAGAUUUUUCAGAAAUAGCAAAAGCUCCAAUGCGAGAAUAGAUCGGCAGAACUUUGGAUUCCUUUGGCUCAAAGAUUCGUUGCGGAUUUGUUUGGUGCAGAGGCACGCUGAAGAUGGUGUCGUUGUAAAAUUCAUGGCUUGGUUAUAGAAUGCAUGAAACCUGGCGCGGAGGGCUCUCGCAUCUUCGCGCUCGGAUUGGGUGUUGAGUUUUCUAGAAAAUCUGAGAAGUUUGUUCCGUCUCAAAGGCCAAAGGUGCGCUUGCCCGAGUAACAAACACAGGGAGCCGCUAGUCCGAAAGGAUGUGCACGGCUCUUGAAUCCUGGCCAGUGGCGGUAUCUGAAUCCCAGGUUCAACUGGGCCAAGGACCGCUAAACGCCCGAGGUAACUCUGACCUUGUUAAGGUAGCCAAAUGCCUUGUCGGGUAAGUAGUUAUUUGUCCUAGAAAUUCUAGGAAAAUGACUUAUAGUCCGACGUGCUUGAACGGAGCAACGAGGGCCCCGCUGUCCCCGCCUGGAUCCCGGUGAACCCACAUAACGUGGCUGUACAGUCCACGAUCUCCCAACGGGACAAGAAAUUCUCUUAGAAAACCUAGGAGAACUUGCCGUCCACGUGGAGCUUUACUGCAUCCUGUAGCUGGGAUGUGGUCGCAGACGCAGAGCGUAGGCGGGAGCCGUUAUACUCAACCCUUCCGGGGGUUGGGAAGGCGACAAUGAAACACCGCCCGUCAGUGACCUAUUCUCUUACCGGGUGAAAGCCCGGGACAACUAUUGGUGGGCAGUUCGGCUGGGGCGGCCCCCUCUUGAAAAGAUAUCGAGAGGGCCCUAAGGUCAGCUCAGACGGAACAGAAACCCGUCGUAGAGUGCAAGGGCAAAAGCUGGCCUGAUUCGGUCCUGCAAAGUAGAGGACCGAAAGGCGAAAGCCUGGCCUAGCGAUCCUCCAUGUCCUUAUGGAUAGGGGCUGGAGGUGACAGAAAAGUUACCCCGUGAGUAAUUGGCUCGUCGCGGGCAAUAGUUCAUAUUGACCCCGCGGUUUGGUACCUCG
rnacentral:rRNA from 1 species